AUUGAACGCUGGCGGCAUGCCUUACACAUGCAAGUCGAACGGCAGCACGGGAGCAAUCCUGGUGGCGAGUGGCGAACGGGUGAGUAAUAUAUCGGAACGUGCCCAGUCGUGGGGGAUAACGUAGCGAAAGCUACGCUAAUACCGCAUACGAUCUACGGAUGAAAGCGGGGGAUCGCAAGACCUCGCACGAUUGGAGCGGCCGAUAUCAGAUUAGCUAGUUGGUGGGGUAAAAGCUCACCAAGGCGACGAUCUGUAGCUGGUCUGAGAGGACGACCAGCCACACUGGAACUGAGACACGGUCCAGACUCCUACGGGAGGCAGCAGUGGGGAAUUUUGGACAAUGGGCGCAAGCCUGAUCCAGCAAUGCCGCGUGCAGGAUGAAGGCCUUCGGGUUGUAAACUGCUUUUGUACGGAACGAAACGGUGAGCUCUAAUAAAGCUUGCUAAUGACGGUACCGUAAGAAUAAGCACCGGCUAACUACGUG
rnacentral:rRNA from 1 species